UUGAUCUUCUUACACUGAAGUUAAGCUGUUGGUUAGCUGCAGAGCACUUGGUCUCAGGGCUUUGGUCCUAAGAGUUUCUUUUUUAUUUCCAACUUUAGAACUGAGAAUCUGUGAUGGCCACUGACCUAAAGACAAAGCCACUGUGAAGAGUGCAGACUCCGUCCACACAGGGCACUGGCUGCUUGGUUGGCUGAAGACCUGCUGGUCCACAGAAACUUGGAUAUUCUUGACCUCCUAAAACCAGACUCUGUUGAUGGGCUUUGACCCCCAAACAUAUAUUGUGGUGAUCCCAUCUCCUACCUGUUACAGUGGAAGACAUGGACGAGGAAACUCCAUGCAUGGAUUUCUGUCAAGCAGACUUACCACCAGCAUCCACAGACACUAGUUCCAGGCUGUCCAU